rnacentral:rRNA from 1 species
GCGGUGGAUGAUGUGGAUUAAUUCGAUGCAACGCGAAAACCUUACCUACCCUUGACAUGUCUGGAACCUUGGUGAGAGCCGAGGGUGCCUUCGGGAGCCAGAACACAGGUGCUGCAUGGCUGUCGUCAGCUCGUGUCGUGAGAUGUUGGGUUAAGUCCCGCAACGAGCGCAACCCUUGUCACUAGUUGCCAUCAUUUGGUUGGGCACUCUAGUGAGACUGCCGGUGACAAACCGGAGGAAGGUGGGGAUGACGUCAAGUCCUCAUGGCCCUUAUGACCUGGGCUACACACGUGCUACAAUGGUUGGUACAACGAGUUGCGAGUCGGUGACGGCGAGCUAAUCUCUUAAAGCCAAUCUCAGUUCGGAUUGUAGGCUGCAACUCGCCUACAUGAAGUCGGAAUCGCUAGUAAUCGCGGAUCAGCACGCCGCGGUGAAUACGUUCCCGGGCCUU